rnacentral:rRNA from 1 species
AUUGAACGCUGGCGGCGUGCCUAACACAUGCAAGUCGAGCGGCAGCGGGCCCGCAAGGGUGCCGGCGAGCGGCGGACGGGUGAGCAAUACAUAGGAAUCUGCCUUAGAGCGGGGAUAGCCAGGGGAAACCCUGAUUAAUACCGCAUGAUGUCGAGAGACCGAAAGUGGGGGAUCGUAAGACCUCACACUCUAAGAUGAGCCUAUGUCGGAUUAGCAGUUGGCGGGGUAACGGCCCACCAAGGCGACGAUCCGUAGCUGGUCUGAGAGGACGAUCAGCCACACCGGAACUGAG